CCUGUACUGCACCUGAAUUUGAUAGCACGUCACUUGUAUGAGUUUUAUCAUUAAUAUUGAUUAUAUUGAACAUUUGAUCAUGUCAGCUGUACUUUUGAAGAGGUAAAACACCUGUAUCGGUUUCUAGGUGACUUUGGUGAAUGGUCACUGGGAGACAUUAGAACCUGAUCCAAACCUUCUGCAGCACCACAAGUUCCCUAAAGAAAGAUCUUCAACAUCUGAGUCAGAUAAGCACAAUGAAGCACACCACGCCAUUUCCCACCAUGCACACCAGGAAGAUCAGC